GAAUUUCGCCGGGAUCGACCUCCUCCCCGACCCGGCGAAUACGGUCAGCCUCUCCUCCUCCCAAUGGCUGACCACCAAAACGACGCCCGCCGAACCUCCUCCCUCGGCGGGCGUUGUUA
rnacentral:sRNA from 1 species